rnacentral:rRNA from 1 species
AUCUACCUAGUAGUAUGGAAUAGCCAUUAGAAAUGAUGGGUAAUACUGUAUAAUCCCUGCGGGGGAAAGAUUUAUCGCUAUUAGAUGAGCCUACGUUAGAUUAGCUAGUUGGUAAGGUAAUGGCUUACCAAGGCUAUGAUCUAUAGCUGGUCUGAGAGGACGAUCAGCCACACUGGAACUGAGAUACGGUCCAGACUCCUACGGGAGGCAGCAGUGGGGAAUAUUGGACAAUGGGCGAAAGCCUGAUCCAGCUAUGCCGCGUGAGUGAAGAAGGCCUUCGGGUUGUAAAACUCUUU